rnacentral:rRNA from 1 species
GUUUGAUCAUGGCUCAGAUUGAACGCUGGCGGCAGGCUUAACACAUGCAAGUCGAGCGGAGACUUCGGUCUUAGCGGCGAACGGGUGAGGAAUGCCUGGGAAUCUGCCUGUUAGUGGGGGAUAACGAAUCGAAAGGUUCGCUAAUACCGCAUACGUCCUACGGGAGAAAGCAGGGGACCUUCGGGCCUUGCGCUAACAGAUGAGCCCAGGUCGGAUUAGCUAGUAGGUGGGGUAAAGGCUCACCUAGGCGACGAUCCGUAGCUGGUCUGAGAGGAUGAUCAGCCACACUGGAACUGAGACACGGUCCAGACUCCUACGGGAGGCAGCAGUGGGGAAUAUUGGACAAUGGGGGCAACCCUGAUCCAGCCAUGCCGCGUGUGUGAAGAAGGCCUUCGGGUUGUAAAGCACUUUAAGCGGGGAGGAAGGCCUUGGGAUUAAUACUCCCGAGGAUUGACGUUACCCGCAGAAUAAGCACCGGCUAACUCUGUGCCAGCAGCCGCGGUAAUACAGAGGGUGCAAGCGUUAAUCGGAAUUACUGGGCGUAAAGCGCGCGUAGGCGGUUUGUUAAGUCGGAUGUGAAAUCCCCGGGCUCAACCUGGGCACGGCAUCCGAUACUGGCUGACUAGAGUGUGGGAGAGGAAGGUAGAAUUCCAGGUGUAGCGGUGAAAUGCGUAGAGAUCUGGAGGAAUACCGAUGGCGAAGGCAGCCUUCUGGCCUAACACUGACGCUGAGGUGCGAAAGCAUGGGGAGCAAACAGGAUUAGAUACCCUGGUAGUCCAUGCCGUAAACGAUGUCAACUAGCCGUUGGGGACCUUGAGUCUUUAGUGGCGCAGCUAACGCGAUAAGUUGACCGCCUGGGGAGUACGGCCGCAAGGUUAAAACUCAAAUGAAUUGACGGGGGCCCGCACAAGCGGUGGAGUAUGUGGUUUAAUUCGAUGCAACGCGAAGAACCUUACCUGGCCUUGACAUAUCCGGAAUCCUGCAGAGAUGCGGGAGUGCCUUCGGGAAUCGGAAUACAGGUGCUGCAUGGCUGUCGUCAGCUCGUGUCGUGAGAUGUUGGGUUAAGUCCCGCAACGAGCGCAACCCUUGUCCUUAGUUGCCAGCACGUAAUGGUGGGAACUCUAAGGCGACUGCCGGUGACAAACCGGAGGAAGGCGGGGACGGCGUCAAGUCAUCAUGGCCCUUACGGCCAGGGCUACACACGUACUACAAUGGUCGGUACAAAGGGUUGCUAGCCUGCGAAGGUACGCUAAUCUCAAAAAGCCGAUCGUAGUCCAGAUUGGAGUCUGCAACUCGACUCCAUGAAGUCGGAAUCGC